GUGCCAGCCGCCGCGGUAAUACCGGCAGCCCGAGUGAUGGCCGAUCUUAUUGGGCCUAAAGCGUCCGUAGCUGGCCGCACAAGUCCAUCGGAAAAUCCACCCGCCCAACGGGUGGGCGUCCGGUGGAAACUGUGUGGCUUGGGACCGGAAGGCGCGACGGGUACGUCCGGGGUAGGAGUGAAAUCCCGUAAUCCUGGACGGACCGCCGAUGGCGAAAGCACGUCGCGAGGACGGAUCCGACAGUGAGGGACGAAAGCCAGGGUCUCGAACCGGAUUAGAAACCCUCGUAGUC
rnacentral:rRNA from 1 species